ACCACAUCCGGGCUACGUGAGUUAUCACGUCUGUCAUACAUAAGUUACCGUGCCAUUUACACAAAAGUUUCGGGGGGUAUGUUUUCAACAAACUUUUAUCCCAGGGGUCAAAAAGUGAUUAUUAUGUUUGCAGCGAGUUAUCAGCUUUGUUGUGUAUAUUACCAUCUUGCACAAAGAUUAUCGAGGGUAUCUUUUUCAACAAUUUUCAUUCCCUCGGUCAAAAAAUUACCAUGAUAUUUGUAUAUGAGUUAUCAGCUCUUAUGUGUGUGUAUUAUCAGGUUGUUUACACAUUAGUUAUUGGGAAGUAUUUUUAACAAUAUUUUUCCAUGUUAUCAGCUCAUGUUAUUUAUACGAGAAGUUAUCAGUGGUAUGUUUUCAACAACAAAAAAUAAUGUCAAAAUUAUCGUGGUAUUUGUACCUAAGUUAUCAGGACCGGAGCCUAUAUUAUCAUGCUAUUUACACAAAAAGUUAUCAGAGUAUGUUUUCAAGAAGUUUUUCUCAUGGGUCAAAGUUAUCGUGGUGUUUGUACCUAAGUUAUCAGGUCCGGAAAACCUAUAUUACCAUGUUAUUUACACAGAUGUUACUGGAGUAUGUUUUCAAUAACUUUUUUCUACGGGUCAAAGUUAUCGUGGAGUUUAUACCUUAGUUAUCAAGUCUGAGAGUGUAUAUUAUCAUGUUAUUUACAAAGAAGUUAUCGGUUGUAUGUUUUCAACAAUUUUUCUCAUGGGAUCAAAGUUAUCGUUGUGUUUGUACCCAAGUUAUCAGGACCGGUAGCCGAUAUUAUCAUGCUAUUUACACACAAAAAAGUUAUCAGAGUGUUUUUUCAACAACUUUUUUUCGCGGGUCAAAAUUAUCGUGGUAUUUGUACCUAAGUUAUCAGGUCCGGGAGCCUAUAUUACCAUGUAUUUACACAGAUGUUACCGGAGUAUGUUUUCAACAAGUUUUUUCCAUGGGUGAAAGUUAUCGUGGUGUUUAUUCCUAAGU
rnacentral:lncRNA from 1 species